rnacentral:rRNA from 1 species
UACAGAGGGUGCAAGCGUUGUUCGGAAUCACUGGGCGUAAAGCGCACGUAGGCGGCUUUUUAAGUCAGGGGUGAAAUCCUGGAGCUCAACUCCAGAACUGCCUUUGAUACUGAGAGGCUCAAGUCCGGGAGAGGUGAGUGGAACUGCGAGUGUAGAGGUGAAAUUCGUAGAUAUUCGCAAGAACACCAGUGGCGAAGGCGGCUCACUGGCCCGGUACUGACGCUGAGGUGCGAAAGCCAGGGGAGCAAACGGG